rfam:Felis catus isolate Cinnamon breed Abyssinian chromosome E2, whole genome shotgun sequence.
GCCUGGGUGGCUUGGUUGGUUAAGCGUCUGACUUCAGCUCAGGUCAUGAUCUCAUGGUCCGUGAGUUUGAGCCCCGCAUCGGGCU